rnacentral:rRNA from 1 species
UACAGAGGGUGCAAGCGUUAAUCGGAAUUACUGGGCGUAAAGGGUGCGUAGGUGGUUUUUUAAGUCAGAUGUGAAAUCCCUGGGCUCAACCUGGGAACUGCAUUUGAUACUGGAAGACUCGAGUGUGGUAGAGGGUAGUGGAAUUCCGCAUGUAGCGGUGAAAUGCGUAGAGAUGCGGAGGAACACCAGUGGCGAAGGCGGCUACCUGGACCAACACUGACACUGAGGCACGAAAGCGUGGGGAUCAAACAGG